rnacentral:rRNA from 1 species
AUUGAACGCUGGCGGCAGGCCUAACACAUGCAAGUCGAACGAGCGGCGGACGGGUGAGUAAUGUCUGGGAAACUGCCUGAUGGAGGGGGAUAACUACUGGAAACGGUAGCUAAUACCGCAUACCAUCGGAUGUGCCCAGAUGGGAUUAGCUAGUAGGUGGGGUAAAGGCUGACCUAGGCGACGAUCCCUAGCGGGUCUGAGAGGAUGACCAGCCACACUGGAACUUAGACACGGUCCAGACUCCUACGGGAGGCAGCAGUGGGGAAUAUUGCGCAAUGGGCGCAAGCCUGAUGCAGCCAUGCCGCGUGUAUGAAGAAGGCCUUCGGAUUGUAAAGUACUUGCAGCGGGGAGGCGUUACCCGCCGAAGAAGCACCGGCUAACUCCGUGCCAGCCGCCGCGGUAAUUC